GCGGAAGUCCAGAACCUGAGCACGCUGCUAGGAGUGCGGCCAGCCGGUAACUUUCUUGCUCUGGGAUUUCUGCUGGCUAGAGGCUGUACGAGAAGGACCGUGGAGAGCCCCUGAAGCCACACAUGGAGACAGUGAGCUUUGCAGAUGUGGCUGUGAACUUCACCGUGGAGGAGUGGGGUUUGCUGAAUUCCUCGCAAAAGAAGCUUUACAGAGAUGUAAUGUGUGAAAACUUUAGGAACUUGGCUUUUGUAGGAAAAAACUGGGGUGAGCAGCAAAUUGAACUUGAAUACAAAGAAUACAGGAGAAGCAUAAGGUAAUUGUCACUCUGAAAACAUGAAUGUUCCUGAAGAAUCAGGCUAUGAGUAGAAACAGUGAAAACAAUAUCUGAUUUUUUCAGUCUCAAGAAGUUCCUUAUAUGCAUACAUUGUGUUUCGACUGAAGAGCAAGUGCAGGAUAUGUAAUCAGGUAUAUA